GUGAGUGUGGCGAAGUGGUUAACGCACCGGAUUGUGGUUCCGGCACUCGUGGGUUCGAUUCCCAUCACUCACCCCA
rnacentral:tRNA from 1 species